rnacentral:rRNA from 1 species
AUUGAACGCUGGCGGCAUGCUUUACACAUGCAAGUCGAACGGUAACAGGCCUUCGGGUGCUGACGAGUGGCGAACGGGUGAGUAAUGCAUCGGAACGUACCCAGAGGUGGGGGAUAACGCAGCGAAAGCUGUGCUAAUACCGCAUGUGAUCUGAGGAUGAAAGCGGGGGACCGAGCAGCAAUGUUUGGCCUCGCGCCUUUGGAGCGGCCGAUGUCGGAUUAGCUAGUUGGUGGGGUAAAGGCCUACCAAGGCGACGAUCCGUAGCUGGUCUGAGAGGACGACCAGCCACACUGGGACUGAGACACGGCCCAGACUCCUACGGGAGGCAGCAGUGGGGAAUUUUGGACAAUGGGCGCAAGCCUGAUCCAGCAAUGCCGCGUGCGGGAAGAAGGCCUUCGGGUUGUAAACCGCUUUUGGCAGGAACGAAACGGUGUCCGCUAAUACCGGGCGCUAAUGACGGUACCUGCAGAAUAAGCAUCGGCUAACUACGUG